rnacentral:rRNA from 1 species
AUUGAACGCUGGCGGCAUGCCUUACACAUGCCAGUCGAACGGCAUCGCGGGAAAGCUUGCUUUCCUGGCGGCGAGUGGCGAACGGGUGAGUAACACAUCGGAACGUACCGGCUAGGGGGGGAUAACCCGUCGAAAGACGGGCUAAUACCGCAUACGCUCUUCGGAGGAAAGCAGGGGACCUUUGGGCCUUGCGCUAGCCGAGCGGCCGAUGUCCGAUUGGCUAGUUGGUGGGGUAAAGGCCUACCAGGGCGACGAUCGGUAGCGGGUCUGAGAGGACGAUCGGCCACACUGGGACUGAGACACGGCCCAGACUCCUACGGGAGGCAGCAGUGGGGAAUCUUGGACAAUGGGGGCAAACCUGAUCCAGCAAUGCCGCGUGGGUGAAGAAGGCCUUCGGGUUGUAAAGACCGUUCGGCAGGGAAGAAAUCGGCGGGGCGAAUAACCCUGCUGGAUGACGGUACCUGCAGAAGAAGCACCGGCUAACUACGUG